rnacentral:rRNA from 1 species
AUACGUAGGUGGCAAGCGUUGUCCGGAAUUAUUGGGCGUAAAGCGCGCGCAGGCGGUCCUUUAAGUCUGAUGUGAAAGCCCACGGCUCAACCGUGGAGGGUCAUUGGAAACUGGGGGACUUGAGUGCAGAAGAGGAAAGUGGAAUUCCAAGUGUAGCGGUGAAAUGCGUAGAGAUUUGGAGGAACACCAGUGGCGAAGGCGGCUUUCUGGUCUGUAACGGACGCUGAUGCGCGAAAGCGUGGGGAGCAAACAGGAUUAGAUACCCUGGUAGUCCACGCCGUAAACGAUGAGUGCUAAGUGUUAGGGGGUUUCCGCCCCUUAGUGCUGCAGCUAACGCAUUAAGCACUCCGCCUGGGGAGUACGGUCGCAAGACUGAAACUCAAAUGAAUUGACGGGG